GCUGUGGCCACUCCAGAGUGCUCCG
rnacentral:misc_RNA from 1 species